GUCCGUCGCUAUGACGUUUUCUUGGAGUUCAGCUUUACCCUAGAAGACUUGUGUUGCCAGCACAUCAGGCGUACGUUGAGGCCACAUGUGUGUCGUUAGAGAUAAAAACGACUGAGGCUGAGCUACAAAUGGUGCAAAGAACCCAUCCCCUUGAACUGUUAGGCAAUGGGGUAUUUAAGACGCCUUUUCGGUGCUGCUUUGUUAUUCAUGUUAGUUGAGGAAUGAAUAAGAAGCAUGGAUAUUACCUAAAUUACAAUUUGUGCCAUAGGCUCGACAAAGCAACCAUAACCUCAAAGCUAUCUCAAUGAUUCCAAACAAAUCCAUGAAGAUCUACUGGCAUACUAAAGACAAUAAAGAAAAACCAAUACAAAUAUGCUAAAGAAGGUUUUUCCUUAACGGAGAAGAGAACUUAGUAAAACUGGUAAUAUCCUUUUUAUGUGCUUAGAUAAUCUCAGUAAAGAUAUCAGAUGUUAGAUGGCAAUCUAUAUGUUGAAGCCAGUGAGAUAUGAAAAGAAGUCUUAUAUUUUAAA